AAGAAAUGAAAGGGGAGAGAAUAAGGUUUUUAGGAGUUGGAGAGCUAGCUUCAUGCUUCGGGGCGGGAAAAAAAGACAGAGAAUUGGGGUUUUUUUUUUCUUCAUAGGAUUUUGGAAAGACUGAGGCAAUCGUUGCUGAAGUCAGGGUUGUACUGGUGAAUCAGAAUUUUUAAUGAAGUAGGUGUGAUUACUCUUGACUUUUCUGUGAAAUUGAAGUUACGUUUGUGAUUGAAAAAUUAAAAGGGUGCCUAUAGGAUUGAGUAUGCAGAGUGAAUGAAAUUUUUUGGGUUAAUGCAACAAGACAAUCAGUGGAUACAAGGUCGUGAGUAUAAAGUGGUAUCGGAGAUUAGCAGAUUGGGUUGUUCGGGGUUCUUUGUAACAUCUACAAACCUACUGGCUAGGGCAAAAAGGACUUUGACGAGUAGUUGAAGGACAUCCGUAUAGAUUUACGGUAUAUUCUUGUAGUUGUUUAUAUUCCAACAGUCAAAAACUGAUAGACUGCCUGAAUAUUAGCGAAUCUCCAUACUACCUUCUACAGUCAGACGCCCAAGGCGUUUACGAGCAAGAAAGCAUGUAAUACGAUAAAAAGUGGUGAACUCGACGUAAAAGCUUGAGGUGGAAGGUAUUGGAUUUCAUUUGAUUUUAUUUUUAUUUUUAUGGAAAAUGAAAAUAAAAAUUUUGAAGGAUCUUUGAGAGGAGUUUCUGGUGGAGAUUCUUUUAAAGGACAAGGUAUGCACAUGGAUCCGUCUAUUGUUAAUAUGUUUCAAGCCUUCUCACUAUCAAUACAGCAACAACAAAGCAAUGAUUGAAAGGAAGCUUUGGCAACCAAAGCAUUGCAAGCAGUGCUUAAUAAAAUUGAUCAAUUUGAUGGAAGGAAUAUUUCAAGGUAUUUAAGAUGUUAUGUUUGUGAAAUGGAAUUAAAUCAGGUUUCUGAGAAGAAAAUGGUUGAAUUAUUUGGACUUGCCACGAUAACGGAGAUAAGAGACCACAUUACAUCGAUUACAGAUCGUUAUGGAAAUUCAUGGGAGGUUUUUUCACAUGCAUUGAAAGACGAAUAUUUCUUGGAAGAUGCUGAUCGCGUUACUAAAAAGCUAUUUCAGGAAUGGAUUGAACGGCCCAAUAAGAAUUUGCAAGCAACAAAGCUACUAAGGAAAUUUGAGAGGCAGUACUCUCAAUUGUCGAAGGUAGAAAAAUUGACAUUGGAGCCGAACAAAGUUGAUCUAUUUCUUCAAGCUGCUGAUGGAGAAUUGCAAGGGAAAUUAGAACUCCUUCUUGAAGACAAAGAAGAAGAUAAAGGAUUGACAACAAAGUGGAAGAACGUUGAAGAUGCGGUGGGAUUGGUUACAAAAAAAGAAAGGAGGAAGGAUAGGAGAAAUAUUCCGAAAACAGUACAAGCAUCCAAAGCUCCAGUACGUACAAUACCACCAACAAUGCCUACAGUUCAACCUUCGACAUCCUUAUCAAAGAAAGCAAAUAUGGGGAUGGAAGAAAUUAUACGAGGAAUGCGAGAUCUUCAAAUCAAAUUGGCAAGACUUGAAGAGAAUACUUCUAUAAAUAAUUUGAAGAAUGUUUCAAAACAAGGAUAUGUACAAAGAUGCAUUUGGUGUGAUGAUGCUUCACACACUAGAAAAGAUUGCAAUGAAUUUAAUAAUAUGAUACGGCAGGGAAUUAUUUGCUCAAAAGAUGGAAAGAUAGCAUUGAAAGAUAGGGAUGAUGUUCUUCAAACCAAUUUUGGCAAGGGAGGAAUGAGAGCAUUGAUUCAAGAUUACCUAAAAGAGCAUGAAACAGCAGCACGAGAAAGUGCAAGUUAUGGUACUAGAGUAGAUGAUGAAAUUGGUGGAAGUAUGGAAACUAGUGAGUUUUGGGCUUCGGCCGUUUCUACAAUGCAAGAAGGGAAAUUACCUCGAGAAGCGUUAUUAAGGACUGCAGCUACAAUACGAGGUGCAACAGGUUAAGAGGAGCUUGUUGAGUCUCUUUCAGUUCAUGCAUAUAUUGCUAAGAGCCAACACGAAGCUUUGAUGGAAGAAAAGAGACGAGAAAAUUUUGAUGAUACGAGAGAAGGAAAUUCUUCUAAGAGGCAAACUCCAAGAGACAAGGCUCAGGAGGCAGCUUCACAAGAAUUGCCUGUAAAGGAUACCUCACCAUCAUUGGAAGAAAAAACAAGGGAGACAAAAGAUAAGGGCAAAUCAAUUGCUUAUAAGCUACUUUCUGACAUUGAAGCGGCAACAAAUUUGAAGGGGUGUUGGAAGAACGUAUAUUAAACACUAAGGUAGAAUUCACAUUGAAAGAAGUCUUGGGAAUUGCAAAGAAGGAGUUUCAUGAUGUUAUCAUUGACAGCAUUAAGUGAAAGAGGCGAUUAAUGGGCGAAACUGGAUUGAAUCAUGCUAUUGAUGCAAGAAUAUAUAAAGAUGAAGAAGAGGUUGAUAUUGGUUACAAGCAACCAACAAAUGAAAAGAAUGGGUAUAAUCAACGAGUACGUUUCGAAGACUAUAGUGAUAAGGAAAUGGAAACUUUGAGCUAUUAUAUUCGAAAGCAUUGGGCAAAGGCAACUACUGAGAUAUUGGUGAAAGUAAGAGAUAUAGAAGAACCAGUUGUUGCUUUAGUCGACCAUGGUUCUGAAAUAUCUAAAGAUCUUUAUAAGAAGCAAAAAUGGCCAAUUGAUAUGGAACAUGGAUGGGCAAUACGAGCAGCUAAUAAUACAUGGGGCGAAUUAUAUGGAGCUUGUCCAGAUGUCAAAAUUCGGAUUGGGGAUGUUGCGAUGGACCAACAUUUCUUUGUUCAAGAUACAACGUCUUAUCCGUUGAUUUUAGGACAACCUUAUAUUACAGCAACAUGGAUGGAAACUAAAGUACUUGACGAUGGUUCUGCUUAUACAAGGGUACGUAGCGAAGAUGGGAGGAAAGUUGUACAAUUUCUAACAAUACCUCCUAACUAUGAAUGGAAUCGAGAUAGGUUGAGGGAGAAACCAUUGCCAAAGAUUAUUGAAAGAUUUAAGAAUUUUGGGGAGGUACCACUAUAAAGCGAGAUUAUAGAGGUACAAAAGAGGAGGUACUCUCGAGAGAUGAAGGUGCCUUUGAUGCGUGUUUUAUUGGUAUUUUGGAGAAUGGAAAUAUUAUGUAUAAGAAAGUUGAUGAUUUUAAAAGAAAAGAAAGAAGAAGAUUAUAUGAUAUUGAAGGACAAUUAUGCAAGUUAGGGACAUUGCAAGAUGAUGAGAGGAUUUUAGGUGUUUAUGAAGAAAAUGGACUUGAAGAUUCAUUGGAAUUGAUUACAUCUAUUGGAUUAGGGGAUAAUGAUAAGAUUGUUGAGAUUCAUUCAAGAGAGGUUUAUACCAUACUUGAAUCUUUUCAAGCACCAGAAGUCACUGUAGAGACGAGAUAUAAAACGGCAGCUAAGAAGGUAAAGCCUGUUGCCGGACCAUUACCAGAAGAUUCUAAAGAACAAAUGGGAGAAGCAUCAAAAAAAGCAAGUUUAAGAGAUCCAAUGAGUAUUGUACAUCAGUUUACUAAAGAGACUUUUGAAGAAUUGAAGAUUGGUUUUGAUGGUUCUAUAUUGCCGGAGGAAAUUACUUGCUUCAAAAAGAUGUUGGCUAAACAAGGUAGAUCGUUUGCUUUCGAAUCUCAUGAAAUUGGGUGUGUGCAUCCAAAUAUUAUAACACCUAUGGUUAUCUUCACUGUACCGCAUGUACCUUGGAAUCUAAGACCGAUUCUAGUAUCGAGGGCACAUUUACCUAAAUUGGUUGAGCUAUUAAAAGAAAAGAUAAAGAUGAAAAUAUUGAAACCCUUGUUUGCACUGUAUUCUAGUCGAUGGUUUACGGUACCUAAGAAGAAUGGGUCACUACAGUUUAUUCAAGAUAUGCAAUCGGUGAAUGCAGUAACUGUCAGGAAUGUAGGAAUUGGACCUAUUGUGGAUGAAUUUACUAAGGCGUUUGCUGGAAGGGCGAUCUAUUCAAUGGGUGACUUGUAUUCAGGUUAUGAUCAAUUUCAACUUACCGAAGGAAGUAGAGAUAUGACAACAAUGAGGACACCACUUGGAUUGGUUAGAAUGUGCACUCUUCCUCAAGGCGCGACCAACUCAGUUGCGCAUAUGAUGAAUGGGAUGAAUAAGGUAUUGAGAGAUUUUAUUCCAAAAAAGACUAUGCCUUUUCUGGAUGAUGUUCCUAUAAAAGGGUGCAGAGAAGGAGACAAGGAUGAAACUUUAGAUACGAGGGGGUGUCGCAAAUAUGUUGUUGAUCAUAUACAAGAUUGUGAAAAGAUUUUAACUUGGCUUGGAGAAGUUCAUCUUACAUUAUUGGGUAUGAAGUCCGUAUUUGGAGUACGAGAGGUUGUGAUUGUUGGACAUUUAUGUGGAUCUUACAGAAGAAAACCAGAUCCGACUAAAGUUGAUGCAAUUGGAAGGAUGAAAGAGGAUUGUGAUUCUUUAACAGAGGUUCGUAGAUUUUUAGGUGCAUGUGUAUUUUAUCGAAUCUGGAUCCCUCAAUAUGCUCACAUAGCGGAUCCAUUAUAUGAACUUUUACGCAAGGACUACUGAUUUAAAUGGAAAGAAAGGCAUAUUCAGGCAAUGCAAAGAUUGAAGAAAUUAUUGAUGUCACCUCCAAUAUUGAGGAAGGUUGAUUAUAAGUGCAAUAGACCAGUGAUUCUUACUGUGGACACUAGUCCAAUUGCCAUUGGAUGGGCUAUGGGUCAAGAUGAUUCAAGUAGAAAUAGAUUUGCAGUUCGAUUUGGAGUUAAAGUUUUAAGUAUUUGUCAGCGUGCAUAUUCGCAAGUCAAAAGAGAACUUUGGGGAGUUGUUUCGGCUAUAAAAGCUGAAAAGGACUAUUUGAUUGGAACAGUAGUAGAAAUUGAAACAGAUUGCUUGCCAUUGCUUGGAAUGAUUAUUAACUAUUGAAUGCGAGAUAUUGCAAUGUUUUGAUGGAUUGCUUAUAUUAAGUCACUAAAUCCAGAAUUUAAGCAUGUUACUGGGAAAGACAAUAUAGUAGGAGACAUGCUAUCUCGAGCAAGAUACAAGAAGGAGGACAAAAUGGUUGAAGACAUUGAUGACAUUGGAUUGAAAUUCUAUUCAAUAUCAAAUCUCAAGAGAGAAGACAAGCUAUUUCUUGAAGAAUCUUAUGAAGGAGGAUUAUUGAAUAUUGGUCAUUACUUGAAUACCUUGACUAAGCAGGGGAAUUGGUCAAUAGAAAAAUUCAAACAAAUAAGAAAAAAAGCAUAUGGAUUUUUGCUUCCAGAUGGAUUCUUAUGGAAGAGACUGAAGAAAGGAAUUGGGAUGCUACAACGAGUGAUAGGCAAAAAGGAAGAAAAACUAAAAUUAUUAAAGGAGUUUCAUGAUAGUUUAUGGGCAAGGCAUAGAGGAAUCUAGGCUACUUUUACUAAACUCAAGGAACGAUAUUGGUGGAAAAAUAUGUAUCGAGAUGUACUCUUAUUUGUAGAGUCGUAUGAAAUUUGUCAAUCGUAUUCUAAUAUUCGACAUUGAGAUGGUCUUCAUCCUACGUAUCUUCUGGCUAUUCAUUUUAAAUGGAUUGUUGAUUUGGUUAUUAUGCCAGUUGGAUUAUGGCAGAUGAGAUAUUUGGUUUUAGCUCGUGAAAAUUUAUCAAAUCAAGUAAAAGGAAGAGCAUUGAGAACAAAAUCUACAGAGGAGAUAUGUAGGUUUUUGCUUGAAGAUAUCAUUUGUCACUAUGGAUGCGUAGGAAAAAUCACUGCAGAUUGUGGAGAAUUAAAUACAUAAGAAGCUCGUAAGUUCUUUGAAAGAUGUGGAGUUAAACUAUCACUGACUAUUGCUUAUAAUCCGGAAGGGAAUGCAAAAAACAAAAGUGGUCACCCAGUGAUUGUGAAAGGAUUAGUUAAAGCUUGUAAUGGGAAAGUUAAAGUGUGGCCACGACUUUUGUCAUUUGAUCGAACAACACAUAGUUCGGUGACAUGAUAUAUGCUAGUAGAACUUAAGAUAGGUCGGAAACCAAUUAUGCGAAUUGAAGAAAAGGUACUUACUUGGAGUAUGCUACCAUGGGAAGAUGGAUUGACAAGAGAAGAACUUCUAGAUAUUAGGAUUUGACAAUUGGAGCAAAGAUCGGAAGAUGUACAAAUAGCAUUGGAAAGAUUAAAAAGAGCAAGGUUAGGAAACAAGGCGCGAUUCGACAAGCAACAUCGAUUGAGACCUAAAGCAAUCGAAGAAGGUGAUUGGGUACUUGUUUAUGACAAUAGUCUGGAUAAUCAACAUAGUACUUUGUGGAAAUUUUUAAAACAUUGGUUUGGACCAUAUGUAGUAACAAUUAUUCAUGAUAAUGCGACUUACUCAUUACGGGAGUUAGAUGGUACAAAAUUGAAAAUACCAAUUGCAGGGAAGUGAAUAAAAAUAUUUAAACGAAGACACAUGGAGAUGAAUAUGGAAGACCUUAAUGAAGGUAUAGAGAUUCCGCAGCAAGAAGAUGAAAGUGAUUUAGAUAAUGAAGGUGACAAAGAUGAACUUGACAAAGACGUACAAAAUAUAUUCUAAAUCAAACAGCAAUUGGGUAAAUUGGUCCAUAUCGGAGGAUGCACAGGUUCGAAAGGGGGUGGAUAUCCUGUUGUAACACGAGUAUACCGUAAAAAUAUAAAGAAAGGGGACUUUUAUUAAUGUUCAGUUACCUCGAAUAUUGGGAGCAACGACCAACUCCAGUGUAAAUAUUGAGAGGCGAGGUUCAGUCACCCCGUUACAGUCAGCCGGGACAUACUGAAAUGUUCCAUUCAAUUCCAAUAACGGAAGUCAGCAGAAAGGAAAAGAACCAAUUCAACGACGGAUGAGCCUGGUUUGAAGAGCCAAUUGGAUCCAAUUUCAAGACAUCCAAUCCAUUUUCUAUUACGGGCCUCUUAGCCAAUCUGAUGCGAAGAACCAAUUUGACCCAAUUACGGGGAACAUCCAGGUCUUACUACGGGCCUCUUAGCCAAUAUGAGACCUGAAUUGGUCGGGCGACUCAAUGUGGUCCCGAUUACGGGGUUUCGAUUUUGUUUCAGGCUGUCCUGUUCUUUGUGUCGUUUUAGGGAACGUUGUUUUCGGUAAAAGGAUCUCUUAAAGGUAAAAACGGAGGAGAAAGCUCUAAUGGCGGAGAUAAUUCUGGAUCCAAGACGGAAGAUUGAAGAAAUUCAGAGGCUAGGAUUUGAAAGAGGGGAGAAUUAGAGUUAAAGGGGUAGAUAGGUUAAGAAAUGAAAGGGGAGAGAAUAAGGUUUUUAGGGGUUGGAGAGCUAGCUUCAUGCUUUGGGGCGGGGAAAAAAGACAGAGAAUUGGGGUUUUUUUUUUCUUCAUAGGGUUUUGAAAAGACUGAGGCAAUCGUUGCUGAAGUCAGGGUUGUACUAGUGAAUCAGAAUUUUUAAUGAAGUAGGUGUGAUUACUCUUGACUUUUCUGUGAAAUUGAAGUUACGUUUGUGAUUGAAGAAUUAAAAGGGUGCCUAUAGGAUUGAGUAUGUAGAGUGAAUGAAAUUUUUUGG
rnacentral:lncRNA from 1 species